rnacentral:rRNA from 1 species
CAUUGCGACUACGUAGUUUAAGUAGUCGGUGCUGGGUCCGUGGUCGUCGGCCUGCCGGUAGUGGAGCAGAGGAUGUCGGUAGGUAGAGGUGCACCCUCUAUUCAUCGUAAAAGGCUCAGUCGAAAGUCAUCUUCACCUUCUCAUGAAUCACUCGUGGCGUCAGCAGACUGGGGACUAAACGAUCUCCGAAAUUACACAAGUGUUUUGACCCUCUCUUUGUUUCGAUUUCUACUACUCUUCUGGCUCCGACGAUCAAAGACCUCAACGGAACUACUAUAUGUUCUUCCAAAUCUCGCGUAGUGUGAUAUCUCCCCCAAGGAAGACAUGAAGGAUGUUCAGUCGAGUUGAAGUUGUUUGUUACUACAGCUUGUGUAUGGUUCCGACAUCGACAAUCGAACGAUGGAGACGUUAUGAAAACGCGUGCUAGUACAAAUGGAAUUCAAUCAAUACCAGUGUACCUUGGAAUACAACCUCAGUUAUUUAAUACAGUUCGCUCAGUCUGUUUAAAACAUCAGUUAUUUAAUACAGUUCGCUCAGUCUGUUUAAAGCAGGAAUAAUUUACACCACAAACGUAACUAUGAGAGAAGUUCGCACACGAGU